GCCCGGGUGGUCUAGUGGUAUGAUUCGCGUUUAGGGUACGCGAGGUCCCCGGUUCAAUCCCGGGCUCGGGCC
rnacentral:tRNA from 1 species